rnacentral:rRNA from 1 species
CGAAAGCCUGACGGAGCAAGACCGCGUGGGGGAAGAAGGCUCUUGGGUUGUAAACCCCUUUUCUCUGGGAAGAAAGUUGUGAAAGCAACCUGACGGUACCAGAGGAAUCAGCAUCGGCUAACUCCGUGCCAGCAGCCGCGGUAAGACGGAGGAUGCAAGCGUUAUCCGGAAUGAUUGGGCGUAAAGCGUCCGCAGGUGGCAGUUCAAGUCUGCUGUCAAAGACCGGGGCUUAACUUCGGAAAGGCAGUGGAAACUGAACAGCUAGAGUAUGGUAGGGGCAGAGGGAAUUCCUGGUGUAGCCGGUGAAAUGCGUAGAGAUCAGGAAGAACAUCGGUGGCGAAGGCGCUCUGCUGGACCAUAACUGACACUCAGGGACGAAAGCUAGGGGAGCG